UCUUUUCUGAAUCAAACCAGUUAGCCUAUCGUUUUAAAAUGGUGCAUAAGAUUAAGGCCAUAAGAAAAAGGUUAGACACCAUCAAUGCUGAUAGGAGAUUUCACUUAGAGGUACGUACUGUGGAGACACGAGUGGUGAACAGGGAGAGGGAUAACACUCAUUCUUUGGUACGUGCGGAAACAAUUAUUGGUCGAGAGGAUGAUAAGAAGGCUGUUAUGGACCUUUUGAUGGACUCCAACGUUGAAGAGAAUGUGUCAAUUCUUCCAAUUGUUGGCAUCGGUGGAUUGGGAAAGACUACACUCGCUCAAUUUGUAUUCAAUGAUAAACAAAUCCAAAAACAUUUUGAGCUCAAAAUGUGGGUGUGUGUCUCUGAUAUCUUUGAUGUUAAAAAUAUUGUUGCUCAAAUCUUAGAAUCUGCAACAAAGAAGAAACCAGAAGCCGUCGAAAUGGAUACAUUGGUAAACUAUCUUCUAAAAGAAAUCGAAGGAAAGAAAUACUUCCUAGUGUUGGAUGAUGUGUGGAAUGGCGAUCAUGGAAAAUGGUGUCGCUUGAAACAAGUGCUGAUGGGUGGAGCAAGAGGUAGUAGAAUAGUAGUGACUACUCGCAAUGAAAUUGUUGCAAGGACCAUCCGCAAGGAAAGCGUUGCAAGGAUUAUCGGGACAGUUGAAUCAUAUUCCUUAAAAGGUUUAGACGAAGAGGCAUCAUGGUCUUUAUUUAAGCAUAAGGCGUUUGAGAAAGGACGAGAGCCGGAGAAUUCAAUCAUCGUUGCACUUGGGAAGGAGAUCGUACAAAAGUGUAUUGGUGUCCCUCUAGCCAUAACGACAAUCGGAAGUUUAAUGGGCUCAAAAAAUCCUGAAACUGAGUGGCUGUCUUUUAAGAACAAUGAACUCUCAAAAGUAUCUGAGAAUGAAAAUGACAUCUUACUAACUUUGAAGCUUAGUUAUGAUCAUCUUCCUUCACACUUAAAGCACUGUUUUGCUUAUUGUUGUUUGUUUCCAAAAGAUUACGAGAUUGAUACAUCAAAACUGGUUAAACUUUGGAUAGCACAGGGGUUUGUUAAGUCAUCCCAUGAUCAAAAUCGAUGCUUGGAAGAGGUUGGUAAAGAGUAUCUUAUGGAUUUACUAUGGAGAUCAUUCUUUCAAGAAGCUCAAAUGGAUGAGUUUGGUGACGUAAUUGAAUGCAAAAUGCAUGACCUCAUGCAUGAUCUUGCGAUUUCAGUGGUAGGAUCGUUGAUCGCGACAUUAGAUGAUAAGGAGAGAAACCUUGAUGAAAAAACUCGUCAUGUAUCAUUACUUGGCUACAAUAAACCUAUUUCUUCAUUGUGUGAAGCAAGUAGGAUACGAACAUUUCUUUUUCUCUAUGACCGUAAGUACCUUAAUUAUAAGAUUGAUUGUGAUGAACUUUUUUCAAGUUUCAAGUUCUUGCGCAUGUUGGAUCUGUCAUUUAGAAAUCUUGAUUCUGUGCCAAGCUCUAUUGGGGAGUUGAAGCAUUUAAGGUAUCUUGAUCUUUCUCACAAUAAAAAUAUCAAGAAGUUACCAGAUUCUAUAACUAGGUUGCAGAAUUUGCAAACACUAAGACUCGUGUGGUGUCGGUCACUUAAGAAAUUACCGAGAGACAUUAAAAAAUUGGUCAAUCUCAGGCAUCUUGAGAUAGAUUAUUGUGAUUCUUUGACUUAUAUGCCACGUGGAUUGGGGCAACUGAAUAAUCUUCGGACGUUAACAAAAUUUGUGCUUCACUCGGGUUCUCACUCCAAGCAUUGUGGUGGUUUACAAGAACUAAACAGACUAAAUAAGCUAAGAGGAAGAUUAGAGAUUAGAAAUUUGGGACAUGGGAAAGGUGUUGCAUUAGAAUAUAAGGCUGCAAAUCUAAAGGAGAAACAACAUCUUCAUUCUUUGAGUUUACGCUGGAGUAGUGAAGGAUAUGUCAAUGAUUGGGACGAUGUCAAUGAUAAAAUGCCAUUGGAAGGCUUCCAACCGCCCCCAAAUCUGAAACAUCUAUACUUAUUUUUCUAUCAGGGUUCAAGGCUUCCGAGUUGGGUUUUGUUACCCACAAAUCUUGUAACUUUGGCGCUACUUGGUUGCAGCACGUUAAAGUCUCUCCCCCCAGGUAUACAACAUCUCACUUCCCUUCAACACCUGAAUCUUCUGGGUUGUCCUGACCUUGAGCUAGCCAAUGAUGAGAAUGGGAUGCAAUGGAAAGGCCUUACAAGCCUCGUCUCUCUUCACUUCUCAGGACUUUCAAAAUUGGUGUCUCUCCCCUCAGGGCUUCAACAUGUUACUACUCUACAAGAGCUCCAGAUUUGGAGUUGUGAAAGCUUGACGGCCAUACCAAAGUGGAUCCACAACUUCAAAUCACUUCAAGCCUUUCAAAUUUGUAGAUGCCCCGGUUUGACAUCACUGCCCGAAGGAAUGGGUAGGCUAACGUCUUUGCAGAGGCUAAAAAUUGAUGAUUGUCCCAUCUUAUUGCGAAGAUGCGAGAGAGGCACAGGUGAGGAUUGGGCAAAGAUUGCUCACAUUCCAGAGUUAUACUUGGGGACUCCCUCUCUGCAUGAAGAAAAUUCAAGCACCCACGCAUCUUCUACCAUUCAGAAAAUAUGGGAUGGUUCUUUUUCUUGCCAAGUGAAAGAGGUGUAGAAAAGCUUGAGGAUGGCUGACACUGCUGGAUUGUUUGAGUUUGAGCCUUGCUUGGAAAAUAUAGAGAUGCAUUUACAGGAGAAGACGAUUCAGGCUGAUUUAACACUUUUGGGUAUUAAAAUUUUUGGGUUUUUAUUUAUUUUCCAGUAUUUGUUUGUAUGCAUAAGAGUCAUAGAUAGUACUGUCAGCAAAACUAGUUAUAAGCUUCUUGGAUGUAGCACAACUAUAACUUUGCACACUGUUAAGUUGAAACAGGUAGGCUUCGUGCAUUUAUGAGCUUGAUAUUGUCAAAUUAAAAGUUGUGGGGAGUUUCUUAUUUAUGAAACAAAGUUUCUUAUUUUCUUGGUUCAAUAAAAAAGAGAGCAUACAAUAUUAACAAAUGCGUCACAGAGGCAAUGAUUUACUGGGCAUUUGAGGAGACCCAAAAUAGACAGAACACAUCAAUUACAGGACUAAUCUAGAGGAAGGGUGAAAAAAGAGAGUGCAAUGAGCUAGAAACCAAAGGAACAGAUAUGUUGUCAUCUGCUGCCUCUGUGGUUGGAACAGAUAUGUUGUCAUUUUUGUUGAAAAUAAUCCGGUUUUAUGCAUGUUUUGUUGAUGAUUAUAGCAGA